AAGAGGUUAAAGUAUUAAAAAAAAAAUAACACUAGUCUCAAAUCCUAGUUGACCAUGGGUAACCUAAAACCAAAGAAAGCAAAAGUAAGGAUGGGAAGAGAGCGACUGAUGUUAGCAGCAGGUAAAGGAGGGCUUCAUGGUGCAGCUGAGAGGCAUUAAGUAGUCUGUCACAAGUCACAGAAUUGGAGAGGAACAGAUGGACUGAGGUCCAGGUCCUGCCCCUACACAACAUCUCCAGACCACUCCCUGUGGCUCCUGUCAGGGUUGGGUCUUGCUGCUGCGUGGUACCCCAUGAAAACCUUAUUUCAGACUCUGAAUGCUUAAGUAAGGUUCCAGAGCAGCCUUCCAGAACCUUCCUCUGGAGGUGUGUCUGUUUGACAGAGCAUGGUGGAGGGGGUCGGGAGGGAAGGGAACAGAAGGCAGGAGUGGGCAGGUUAUUUUCCUAGUUUCCCAUUGCAUAGAGCCAAAGAGCAGGAGACAAAGACAAACUCACGCUCCUGACGCUGCGGAUUCGCUCUGUGCUCUGGAUAGCCCACUGGAGUGGUUUGCGAGCACGGAGAAGGGCAGCCUCAGGAAGUGUCCGUGUUGAGGGCUGGUGCAGGACAUUUGAGUACAGCAGAGGCUUACAGCAAGACCCCUUAUUUGGGGGUCACAGUGAAUGGCCCAGGGCAGGAAGUAAAAGAUAUUUGUCUCUUCAAAAACCUGCAGGGACUGGAGAGGUGGUUCAGCAGUUAAGAGCCCUUGCUGCUCUAACAGAGGAGUUCCCAGCACCCACAUGGUGGGUCACAAAGGUCUGCAACUCCAAUCCCAUCACAUCCUUCCGGAAGAUCCAACACCCCUUUCUGACUGGAGGCACUAGUCAUGCACCUGUGCACAUACGUCUGUGCAGGCAAACACUCAGAGAAUAAAAGUAAAUGACUCUUAGAGCAGGCAUGGGUCAGGGAUCCCCUUGGAAAGGUGCGCUUGCAGGUGCGUGCGUGCGUGCGUGCGUGCGUGCGUGCGUGCGUGCGUGUUGCGAAGUGGGCAGUCCCAUGCCUCCUCUCUCCACCAGCACCGUUUUUUCUUGUGUGUGGAACGGGAUAGGGGGUACUAAUAGCCCUUCUAGUUGUUUCUCUGAAUGAUAAUAAUUUAAUGAGAGCAAUAGCAAAUAGUGGCUGUAACUAGUAGAAAGUUAAAGUUAGAGGGUAGUCAGGUGCUGAGCCAGCACAAAAGCGAGGCUGACAACCAAGAUUUGGCUGGUUCCGAAACAGCAGAUUGAAGGAAUCUGUAAAGAGCCCUUGUACUGGUUCUGAGAGCUCUAAAAACUGGGUUGAAAAUGAAGAGUACAGGAGCCAUAAAAUAGCGCCAAGUAUUUUUUUUCCCCUAGUGUGAGCCAAUCUUUUGAGACUUGGACUCUAAAUAUUACAUAUGAGUCACUCCUACUUCCUUCCCCUCCAAAACAAUCUUGUCUGGGACACAUUAGGAGGGUGGCUUUUCAGCGUCUCCCACCAAACUCUUGUCUCUCAUCGUGGGCAGAACAGCCCCUUGCAGAAAAACUGUCUCCUUCAUUUCAGUCCCCUUGGAGGCUAGAGCCAGUUUCCAUAGAAAAAAAGGAGCGUCCUAUGAGCCACAAGAUCCAGGAAGACACUAGGUGGCGCCAGACCCUCGCGGUUUCCAGCCCGUCAAACACCGUUUCUUUUCCUGCGAGCUGCCAGCCUCCAAAACUAUGGCUUCUUAAGCUCUGUGCCGGGAUCCCACAUGGGGCCACACAGCUGAAUGCAGGGUUUGAACAGAAAACUUGGCAGCAGCGAAAUGCAAAACGACUGAGUAUUUCUGUCGGCACUCGCCGAUGCUGGGUUGAGUGAUGUCACUGCAGCCUUGGUUCUGAACAUACGAUGUGCACACUUUGCACUGUGCACACCACCACCACAGAAUACCAAAGGAUGCUGCUUGAAACACUCGAUCGUAUGUUUCCGACUGCAUGUACAAGGCUUCCCGCUCUUAUAGGAACUCAGUGGCUUCAUUACAGAAAACAAGACUGAAUUUCCUUCUGCUGCUCCUCGGAGGCAAGUAUCAGAUCAGUGAACUUGGGGCUUUGCAGUUAGCAUGCUGGACUUUAAGAACUGUUGUUUGAGUUAUGGACCUCAGUUGUUUUACUUUAAAAAAAAAAAUCAUCCAGUGAGUUUUGGUUUGGGAUUAGGACAGAAUUUCCAACAGCGUCUGAAAUGUCUGAAAUGGCCCUAAUGGUGCUUCUGCCAUUUUGUGCUGUGUAUUUGUGUGACGGGACAUUCUCAGCACCGGUGAUCAUAAAACUAAAAUAACAAUCAGCUCAGAAAAAAAAUGUUGAAGACGCAACGUAUUCCACAGUGUCCAGUAUCACACUGUGGUUUGGUUCUUUAUGUAAAAUGAACAAGCAUCUCAUUAACGUGUAAACUCGCUUAGUGUCUGCUUUAAUAGACAGCGAAAUUGUAUGCAUGCCAAAGAAUUGUUUUAAAGUAAGCUUCUUUAUGAUCGCCCAUCAGCAAACACUUGAUUUGUCGACCCAUUCUGUUUACUUCUACACCCAGCCACAGAAACACUUCUGAGAUGAAAGGGCAGUCACAAGUGGAAAACUUUUUUUUUUUUUUUUUUGGUUCUUUUUUUUCGGAGCUGGGGACCGAACCCAGGGCCUUGCGCUUCCUAGGCAAGCGCUCUACCACUGAGCUAAAUCCCCAACCCCACAAGUGGAAAACUUUUAAGAAGCCCCAAUUUAAGCCACUAGUCUGGGGUACGCACCACACCACUGUAGGCAGCAAAUAUUAAGCCCCCAAAGAUCUGUGGGAGCAGUUGGUUGAGGCAGGUACAUGAUAUAGAAAUAGGAAGGGGAAAUAUUGGUUGGAAGACAUCCCAGAUAAGCUCCCCAUAAUGGCACUGAGGUAGAAAAGAACUGUGGAGGUAGGAGAUGUCGCAGAGGGGCCAGGCAUGCAGUCGGCCUUGGGUAGACAUCACUGCCUGUGUCCACUCUAGACAUCCUGUUGGCCAGUGCAUGAUGAAGGAUAGUGGGCCAGGAAGCCUGGGUGACAGCAGCUUCCAGGAUGCUCUCAAGGUCAGUGUUACGAACCGUGAGCAUGUCGAGAUCACUGCAGGGACAGCUUAUGCCAUGGGAGGUCAGAGUGAAGUUACCAAGGGGCAGGUGGCUUCUCUAUUCCCUUCCUUAGACUCUUGGAGUUUGGGAAGGUCUAGGCCCCUUCUGCACUGCUUGACACCCUUCCCAUUUUUAUUUUUUGUGUGCUGGCGCUGAGGACACUCAGGGCCAAACUCAUUCCACUCCAGCUGCUCCACUGCACUGUGCUUCCAAUGGUCUUGGUCCUUCAAACUGCACCCCUCCCCAUGGACCAUAACCUCACCCCUCCCCAUGGACCAUAGCCACACCCCUCCCCAUGGACCAUAACCUCACCCCUCCCCAUGGACCAUAGCCACACCCCUCCCCAUGGACCAUACUCACACCCCUCCCCAUAGACCAGAGCCUCACCCCUCCCCAUGGACCAGAGCCUCACCCCUCCCCAUGGACCAUAGCCACACCCCUCCCCAUGGACCAUACUCACACCCCUCCCCAUAGACCAGAGCCUCACCCCUCCCCAUGGACCAGAGCCUCACCCCUCCCCAUGGACCAUAGCCACACCCCUCCACAUGGACCAUACUCACACCCCUCCCCAUAGACCAUAGCCACACCUUCCCCAUGGACCAUAGCCUCACCCCUCCGCAUAGACCAUACUCACACCCCUCCCCAUAGACCAUAGCCACACCCCUCCCCAUGGACCAUACUCACACCCCUCCCCAUAGACCAGAGCCUCACCCCUCCCCAUGGACCAUAGCCACACCCCUCCCCAUGGACCAGAGCCUCACCCCUCCCCAUAGACCAUACUCACACCCCUCCCCAUAGACCAUAGCCACACCCCUCCCCAUGGACCAGAGCCACAACCCUCCCCAUGGACCAGAGCCACACCCCUCCCCAGGGACCAUAGCCACACCCCUCCCCAUAGACCAUACUCACACCCCACCCCAUAGACCAGAGCCACACCCCUCCCCAUGGACCAUAGCCACACCCCUCCCCAUAAACCAUACUCACACCCCUCCCCAUAGACCAUAGCCACACCCCUCCCCAUGGACCAGAGCCACACCCCUCCCUGUAGACCAUAGCCACACCUUCCCCAUGAACCAUAGCCACACCCUCCCCAUAGACCAUAGCCACACCCUCCCCAUGGAUCAGAGCCUCACCCCUCCCCAUGGACCAGAGCCUCACCCCUCCCCAUGGACCAGAGCCUCACCCCUCCCCAUGGACCAGAACCUCACCCCUCCCCAUGGACCAGAGCCUCACCCCUCCCCAUGGACCAGAGCCUCACCCCUCCCCAUGGACCAGAACCUCACCCCUCCCCAUGGACCAGAACCUCACUCCUCUGCAUGGACCAUAGCCACACCCCUCCCCGUGGAACAUGCUGCAGGGCAGCUUUGCUGAAGACCUUUUCCUCGUGAAAAGAAAACUCUAGAAAUCAGGCAGCAAGGUUUAUAGUAAAGAAUCCCCCCUUCUCCCACAAGAAUGUUCAUAGCCUCCUGAGUUCUCUCCUCAGAGGCAACCUCUGACCACCCCCACCCCUUCCCCACACAUUCCUGUUCCCAGAAUUUUCUUUUUAACAAAUCGAUCUUUCCUUUACUCCUGAUCCCACCAUGGAGGGUCUUUCCCAUCAGGCUCUCGAACGUACCCUCCCCAGUCUCAACUCCACCCACAGAGUCAGACUCUUGCCGCCAUCGCAGUCCUGCUCCCUGCCACAGCAUAGUUUAAAAGGUCGUUAUACAGGGCUGGAGAUGGCUCAGAGUUACGAACUUGCUGCCCUUACAGAGGUCUGGGCAAUGACUUCCUACGAAACGGCUCACAACGGUUUAGAACGCUAGUUGCAAGGGCGUCUGAUGCCCUCGUCUGAAUUCAGUGAUGCAUAUACACACACGUAGGCGAGACACUCAUACGCAUAAAGUAAGGACAUCUAAUGUUUAAAAUAAUUGAUGGGCUGGAGAGAUGGCUCAGUGGUUAAGAGCACUGACUGCUCUUCCAGAGGUCCUGAGUUCAAUUCCCAGCAACCACAUGGUGGCUCACAACCAUCUGUAAAGAGAUCUGAUACCCUCUUCUGGUGUGUCUGAAGACAGCUACAGUGUACUUAUAUAUAAUAAAUAAAUAAGGCUGGGGAUUUAGCUCAGUGGUAGAGCGCUUACCUAGGAAGCGCAAGGCCCUGGGUUCGGUCCCCAGCUCCGAAAAAAAGAACCAAAUAAAUAAAUAAAUAAAUAAAUAAAUAAAUAAAUAAAUCUUUAAAAAAAAAUAAUUGACACGAGCUUGCUUACUCCUUUGAGUAAUGACCACCCAUAAAACUACACACAAUUUCUUUUCUGAUCUGCGUUCCCUAAUCUCUUCCAGCAAAGAAAACCGCAAUUAACCAAUUGCUUGCAUUGUCUUCUAGACCAUUAUUACACGUAUUAAAUGUACACCAAUUAAAGCAAGAUAUUCUUUUGCUUUCACUCACAGGACCGAAUGGGAUUCAUGCUUUCUACGUCGACUCAUUUAAAAUGUAGUAAUAGAUUGUAGGAGCGUUCCCAUAGCAAUUGGUAAGAGCCUCUGGUUGCUUUCUACAGCUGAACAUCCAGUCUCAUGGACAUAGCCUAGUCCAGCCAACAUUCCCCGUCACACAUCAGAUAGUAAAUAUUUUAGGACCCAUGAGGUCAGAGAGUCUCUGUGGAAAGUAUUUAGCCCACUUGUGCAAGAGUGCAGGGACAACAUGGAAAGAAAGGGACAUGACAACGUUUCAGUAAGAUUCAUUUAUGAACAAUGAAAAGAAUUUCCCAGAAAGCUCGUGAAUCACGGAGACAGAAUUUUCCUUUUGAUUUUUAAAAACUAUUUUUAAAUGUUAAAAGCUAGGUAUGGGAACUCACGUCCUGGUAAUCCCAGCACUCAGGAGGCUGAGUCGGGAGAAUCACCCUAAGUGUUAAGGUCAGGCUGGCUACAGCGUGGGACCCUGACUCAGCCCUCUUCCCCAGAAAAUGUUAAAACUCUUCAUAGUUUGAAAAUGCUGCGCAAGGCCCUGGGUUCGGUCCCUAGCUCCGAAAAAAAAAAGAACCAAAAAAAAAAAAAAAAAAAAAAAAAAAAGAAAAUGCUACAAAAGCAGGCAAAAAGCCAGAUUUGGCUUCUUGGUGGUAGAACACCAGUCCUUGGCUUAUCCAACCAGUCCCUGUUAAUGAGAAUCAAAUGGUUUGGGGGCUUUGCUGGGAUGUGCACUGCACACGCAUGCAGAUGCUACGGGACAAGCUCCAAGAAGGGGAAUUGCUGGACCUUCGUGGUUCUUACUUAAUAGAUGUGACUAAUGGCUGUGCCGAUGUGUCCAGCAGCACGGCACAGGACGAGCUGUGUCUUCACAGCCAACUGCAGGCCCAGGUAAUGGCUCAUCUGAGCCGGGAAGGCCAAGGCGCCUUGGUCGUCUCCUCUACAUGUUACUUACAAAGACGUCGCCAUCUUUCGGCAUGCUUAGCUGCUACUUACGUUUCAUGUUUCUUUCCUAUCUUGUUUUUUUCAUUUCUUCUUUCUGUUUUUGAGGCAGGUUCUUGCCCAGCCUGGUCUCACACUCACAAUCCUCCUGCCUCAGUCCCUUGAGUGUUGGAAUUAUAGCCACCAUGCCUAGCUCUGCUGUGCAUAAACGUUUAUUGGUCUUUUCUUUUGAUACUGUUUUGACCUCUAUUUUUAUUUUCUUUCACUACUUUCGGCUUGUGCCUCUUAUUUUAUCCUCCUACAGCUUUUUAAAUUUUUAUUUUAAUGGAUAUAAUUACAUCAUUCCCCCCUCCAACUCCUCUCAUAACUCCCCCCUACAACUCUCAAAUUUAGAGCUUCUUUUUCUUUAUUAUUCUCACACACACACACACACACACACACACACACACGCACGCACGCAUACACGCAUAAGUAUAUGAAUACAACCUCCUGCUGAUUCCAUCCACUGUUGCAUGUAUGUAUAUGAUCAUUUGAUCAAAUGAUCAGGACUGAUCAUUUGGUAUUGGAUAUCAAUAGUGAAGACUCAGCAGCCAUAGCCUGGUCUGGCCUCAGACAUGUAAUACUCCUCUCUCCCGCUGGGAUGGCAGGCACCCGGCUCUUGUCAUCUCUUUUGCACAUGCUGUUCUUUGUGCCUGGAACAGGAUGCAGAAUGCUUACUUGCCCGUCUCGGAGCAGGAGCCAUGGUCAUGUCUCUGUCUCCAGCUGGCCACACUGAGCUAGACGCAGCGAAGGUCUCUCUCAGCCUCGUUAACUGAAGGGACAAGUGGAUAUUUCUUUGACCCACCUACAGUCCGUUGUAACAAAGAAGACAUGGGCAAAGCAUGUGGUGUGAGGUGUUGAACAGUGAAGUCCUGAUGCAGCAGGGCAUGGGAAGUCUGUCACGAAUUUGUGAGGGAAUGAGGUGAGGAGGAAUCUACCAGUGCUGUGCCUGAGAAUGGCCAAUCCAAACUCUGACUACAAACUCUACACUAUAACCCCAGCUCCUGCUAGAGUCAAACAUCACCCAGUCAGAACUGGUUUCCAUUUGUAUGGUGGUAAAUCAACACCAGAGAGAAAACAGGAUCUGUGUGAAAAUAGCCCUCCCCACGGCUCUCCUACAGUGAGCUCAAUGCACUUGUCUUUUUCUAGUCUGAUCUGACUCAGUGACUCUUUCACCCCCUAGGACCCUAACUUGCCAAAAUGUUGACUGUCUACUACAGGCCAGGUACAGAAGUAGAACCUUCUGGCAUAGCCUGUAUAGACAGUUUGCCAACCACAGCUGCUGGCUGGCAGGCAUUCAGCUGUCAAGACAAAGGAGACAGCCAGGGAGCACCAAUGAUCCUCAUAGAGGGCUAAGUUGUGUUGAAAGCAUGAGCCUUAUGCCAAACUCCUAUUCUAGCCACUUACAGGUACUCUUCAGGCCUCAAGCUCUUCAUUGCUAAGCUUCCUCGUGGGGCUUUGGCAGAAUAGUGUGUUUAAACUGUGUGAGACCACAUGCAGGCAGUGUGGCAGGAACUUCAACAAGCUUAUCUUACGACCUUUAGCAGGCUGAGGUACCUUUUCUAACCAGGGGGGUCUGCAAACUAACCUCUGAGAUCCCUGGAGACCCAGAGUGGAUGUUUGAGGCUCCUUGCAAGGGACUAGAAAGCCAUGUCAGGAACAUCCUCCACAACCCACAGGGACCCUGAGGUUGCUCCUCCUUGGGUAGCUUUCCCCAGCUUCUUCCUUAAGAGAUAUGAAUAGAGAAAAGCAAAGGGAAAUAAUUCUAUGAAGGAGCAGGGCUAUGUGCAAGAGAAUGUGUUUGGGGAUCAUAAGCCUGGGAGAGCCUGUAGUGGUUUGAAUAUACUUGCCCCACAGGAAGUGGCACUAUUUGGAGGUGUGGCCUUAUUGGAGGAAGUGUGUCACUGUGUUGGCAGGCUCUGAGGUCUCCUAGUGUUCAAGCUUUGCCCAAUGUAGAAGACAGUCUCCUCGUCCCUGCUAUUGGAUCAAGAUGUAGAACUCUUGGUUUGCCUGGAUGCUGCCAUCCUUCCCACCAUGAUGAUAAUGGACUGUACUUCCUAAACUGUAAGCCAGCCCCAGUGAAGUGUUUCCCUUCAUAAGAGUUGCCUUGGUCAUGGUGUCUCUUCACAGCAGUAAAAAGCAAACUAAGACAGAAGUUGGUAUCAUGGACUGGGGUUCUGAUGUGACAGCUUGCUUGUAUUUUUGUCUGGAGGAGUGUGGGUCUUGGGACUUUGUAUUUGGAAGGCAAUGGAAUGCUUUAACUGGGGCUUAAUGGGUUAUCCUACUAGGGAUGUGGAAAGCAGUGGUACUGGGGGCGAUUUGAACUGUGAGUCCCUGUCUCAAAAGGUUUCAGAGGAGGAUUUUAGUAAUGCUGCCUACAGAUCAUUCUUGCAGUAUUUUGGUAAAAAGAUGGCUGCUUUUUUGCCCGUGUCUGAAGCGUCUGCUUGAGGCUAAAGUGAAGAGAUUUAGAUUAAUUGCAUUGACAAAGAAAGUCUCAAAAAAGCCCAGCAUAGAUUUUUGUCCUCUCAUUUACUCUCAUGAAGAUGAUCUUGAUCAAGUGUACCAAACUUAGAAAGGAAAAAAAUACAAAAUGCAUGAUAAAUUCAUAUGUUAAAUUCAAGUAUUAGGGGCUGGGGAUUUAGCUCAGUGGUAGAGCGCUUACCUAGGAAGCGCGAGGCCCUGGGUUCGGUCCCCAGCUCCGAAAAAAAGAACCAAAAAAAAAAAAAAUUCAAGUAUUAAAGGGCACGAGUAAGUGGAAUAGAGCUAAAUCUUCUGUUCAAGGAUAUUAAAUGGAAUUAAGGGAGUGGUGACCUCAGAGCAAGACCCCACCCUGCUAAGCUUGUUGAUUAUGCAUUUGCAGUUGAACUAAGGGAUAGGUGUAUUAUGUUAGGCAUUACUAUGACCUGGUUAUUUACACUUAGAUAUAAGGCUAUAUGAUUGUGUGUCAGGCUGAUAAGGGAUGGACUGUGAUGACUAUUCUUGUUUGUCAACUUGACUAUAUCUGGAAUUAAUUAUAAUCCAGAACUUAUAAAGAUCUUGUAAAAGGGAAUUAAAGAAAAACUUAGGUUCAGGCAUAGGUACACACCUUUAAUCCCAUCACUCGGGAGACAUAGGCAUGCAGAUCUUUGAGUUCAAGGUUAGCUUACGGAGCAAGUUCCAGAACAGUCAAGCUUAGGCAGUGAAGGAGUUGGUAAACAGAAAGUUGGUGUUGAUGUAAUCUAAUUGGGCCAGUGGAAGGGGCAGCCCCCAGCAAGCAGCAGAAUUUAGCGUCUUCAGCCACAUGGCUCUGGCUUUAGAGUCAAGAAUAGAAGAAGUUAUCGGGAUGAUGUAUGCUGGCUAGCUGGAGCUAAGAAAUUAGCAGUGAUUAAGAGACCAGCAUCACUUGGUGAAAUCUUCUGGGGAGUGUUUUCUGAGAGCACAAAGAGACUGUGUUCUAGAGAUAGGCAUUACGCUGGCAGAAAGACUUGGUAAUGUGUAAGAAUCACCCAGGUCAUACUAAUUUUGAAGGCCUAAAGGGGUCAUGGAGAGCAACUGAGGCUUGGCACCGUGAGAGGCCAUGGGAGACCAUUGGCGAAGACACCAAUUCAGUUGCAGUUGAUGGCCCAAGACUAUGCAGGGGCUAUGCAAAGAAGUUGAGGCUUGGCACUAUGAAGAAAGCCUAGGAGAAGCUAUUAGGGAAGCCUCGUUGGAGCAGUACACCCCAGUGUAUUGGAGAUGCCAGUACCACGGGGUGAUCACCAAGAGCAGCAGCAGCAGUGGAGUGGAGUCAGCCAGACCCUAGAGUGCCACAGAGGGCAGAGCUGGAGAGAUGACUCAAGCUCUUUGGAGGAGCCCAGAAGAUCGUACAUGGAUAUCAGACAUUGGAACAAGAAUCUGUAAUAUGGAGGUUACCUUUCAGAGCCCAAGAUGUUCAAGAUGCCACAGCCUUGGGAUUCCUGCUAAGGAAAGCUGCUGACAGAAAUGGAACCAGCCCGAGAGAAAGAGUUGUGUUGCAACCAACAAAGCAGAAAAGAGUUGGACAUCAGACACGGAGAUACAGAGUUUGGAGUUCUACAUCUUGACCCAAAGACAGCCAGAGAGAGACUGUCUUCUGAGGCAGCCAGGAGGGGCCUCUCCCACACUGGGCAGAGCUUGAGCAUAGGAGCCCUCAAAUCCCGCCUACGCAGAGACACACUUCCUUCAACAAGGUCACGCCUAUUCCAGCAAGGCCACCCCUCCAAACGGUGCCACUUCCUAUGGGCCAAGCCUAUUAAAACCACCACAGAGCCCAAGAUCCCUAUGAGUUUCAAGAGGCCAGAGUGCAUGAAGCAUAGGGGUGGGGGAUGGCUCAAUGGAAGAGAACUUGUCCUUGAAAGGGACCCAAGCUGUUUCCAGUAUCUACAUGGAGGUCACGACAUUCUGUAACUUCAAACCCAGGAGAUCUGAUGCCUUCUUCAGAACCCCCCCCCCCAACACACACCCAUGCAUGUGUGUAUGUAUGCAUGUAUAUGUGGGCAAAACAUACAUAAAAAACUUUUUAAAAAUCUUAAAGUCAAAGCAUUUACUGAAACUCUUACAGAGGGUUUUUUUUAAUUGUGUACACAUGAGACAAUACCAGGAAUAAAAAGCAUCUUCUGCAUACUUAAUGGCAGACACAGCACUAACUGGUUUGUAUGCAAUCACAGCUCAUCAUGUGUCAGCCCUUCCAAGCAGGUUUUCACCAAUUCUCUUACUAGUUCUAGGCCAGUGUGUUUCUUCCCUAAAGGCAGGAGAAGUUUCCCUCUGUGGGCCAUGCCCUGCUUUGGUGGGUUAACUGGGCAAAGAACAGAUUCAGAAACCAUCAGGUGUGCCUGCAAACCGUCACCUUGGGUUUCAGGGACAAUCAGAAGGAAUAGGGCUGUGACACACAGUGCCCAGCCUACAACUUCAGCUAGUUGCUAUAUACCUGCUCCAAAUAAGAGGGAGAGGGGGACAGAGAGAGAGGGAGAGAGGGGCAAGGGAAUGGGAGAGGGUGAAGAGAUGGGGGAGGGAGAGAGGGAAAGGGAGACAGAGACAGACAGGCAGACAGACAGACUGACUGACUGACCGACUGACUGAGAGAUUCCGGUAGCCAAAAAUCAGAGAAUUCAUGCUUCUCUUUGCAGGCUCUCUAGAGCCCGAGUGCAGCCUGGGGUACUACUAACUGGGCAGACAUUCCUUGCCGUCUGAACUGGUUUCUAAGGGAACAAGCCAAGCCUGGCAGGUUUUCUUGCAGAGAUCCUCCUAGUAAGGGAAAACAUUAUACUCCAUGGAUUUUUUUUUAAACAAUAAUCUUCAUCUAAACCACUGGUCACUUCUUCCUCAGAGUUUACAACCAUUUUCAAGGUGUCUCUAGACAUUGGCAACUGCCCCCCACAAGAAUGCUUGCAAGGAUCCAGCUCGGUCCCCAUCCCAGUGCUCUCACCAGGCUGCCACAGCCACAGUGCCCAUCCGCAGCAUCUGUGCUGGCCCAAAGAUUCCUCCUGCCCUUCUCCAAAGUUAUUCAUUGCUGCUGGAUACUGAUUUACCCAGUGCGCCAUUUGAAAGACAUGAUGGGGCAGAGUCUAAGGGCCGAGGUAAAGGGUUAGUGCUUGGUUGCCGACAGCAGGACUUUUUAGACUCUUAGGAAUUACGGUGCACGUUGUGAGUUCACGCUGUGAGUCUUCCCAAGAGGGCUCAGGGUACACAUUUUCUGCAGCUGUUUGGCAUGGAUCUUUAAAGCAUUUCCUGUGGCCAUGGAGCACAGUUCAGAAACACUGUUCCACAGAACCCCCAAGAACAAACCUACCGACCUCAGUAGCGACCUCCAGUCGCUAUCCUUCCUCUGUGGCGUUAACCUGGCCCUUCUCUCAUUCUGGCUCCCCCUAGGCUCUGGAACCAGAACAGACUUUCAGUUGCCUGUCUGUCUGUGAUUGCCAGCCACUGUUUUCUCCUCAGUCUGCGAGGUCCCGUGGAAUCUGACCACCUGAUUCCAGCACACACCUAACGAGAGACGAGUGAAUGAGGAGUGAUCCUGUAGAUCCUGCUGAUACACACGUGGGAAGGUCUUAGGAUUCUGCAAAUAUUGCAUUUAGUCCUCAGUCCUCACAGGAGGCCAUGGCCUAGGCGAUAGCCGCUCUAUUUUGCACUCAGGAUCCCAUAACCAGCCAAAGCCAGGAUUUGAACCCACAGAAGCUGGUACCAGAGCUUAAUUACUAACCGCUUUUUUUUUUAAUGGCCUAAACUAUUUUCCCUGUGUCUUAAUAAAUUCACAAAUUUCAUUUUGAUUCUAGCAAGCGAUGACACCAUGAUCUACAUCUCUUACAUUGAAUUAGGUCUAACUUGGUAGGGUACUGAACAAUUUCCUUGAAAAAAAAUGUUUUCCAAAUAGGCACCUAAAUAAAAGGAAACCUGAGUUUUUCAGAAUGUGUACAUAUAUAUUUGAUGGCAAAUCUAUCCAUAUACCUCACAGUUCAUGGGUUCAAACCCCUGGUCUACAAGCUGUUAACAAACAUUCACUGUGCUCCAUUGAUCCAUUCUCUUUUGCAGACUAAAUGUUGCUGACUAUUACCCUGGGAACAGCACAUCUUCCUGACUAUACUGAACACUGAGACCUCCCCCACCUCCGAAGAACAAGGCCAAGCUUGUUCUGGAGGGGCUCUUUCUUUAUAGCUAGGUGACUGGCUCUGCUGUAGGCAGCAAAGUUACCUUCACCCCUUGUGGGGCAGGGCUGGGGAUGUUAAUCAAGGGCUGUCUCAGGUCAUCUGAAAAAUAGAAUUGGAAACAAUUUAGAGGCUGCCCCCUGAGAUUCUGUUUGGCUCCUUUGUCAAGCUCAGUCUGUUCCCAAAGUCAUUCCUCUCAAGCCAUUUGCCAACAAGAAACAUGGGGUACAGAUGGGGACCCAGGACUCACUUGGGGUAACCAAGGUCAGGCUUCUGCCUUCCCUCCUGCCGCUGAAUCACGAGGUCACAGGGAAUGAUGAAUCGGUUCCACAUAGCCUCAUAUACACCCCUUCCUAGACCCAUUCUUCAUACCCCUGUGCCCCAGCUUCUAGGUGGGGUUGCUCCUUGGAAUCCACUAAAGUCUGCAGGGUCUCAGAAGGCAGAAUGGGGCACGGCCUUGAAUUCAGUUCUUCCUACCUUCAAAGUCCCCGAUAAUACCUGCGGUCUUCUGGGGCCACUGUUCUGUUGGAUCCCCAAUACUGCGUGAAGUGUGUGUAGUGGUGCACAUCUGUAAUCCUGGAUUCGUAAAGUGAAGGUGAUGGGAAUCAGAAAGUUAUUGUUAGCAUUAGCUACAUAGCUAGUUCAAGAAUAUGGGAGACACUUUUCCACAGCAGCACAUAUGAAAACACCAGUGCACUUGUAUUUAUGUUCUUUUAUAUAUAUAUAUAUAUAUAUAUAUAUAUAUAUAUAUAUAUAUAUAUAUACAUAUAUAUAUGUAUAUAUAUACACACACACAUAUAUAUGAAUAUGAAUGAGGCAGGUGCAUGUGCGUGUCUGUUUGUAUGUGUGUAGAGAUAAGAACAUUGGUUCAGAUUCCUCAGAACCCUCCCUCCCAAGUCAGACAUUGUGACAGAAGGGUUAACGAAGGAAAACUUCUAAUUCGGGCAGGAGACGGGUCUCUAGCAUUCACUUGGGUCUUUACAAUUAGGCUGUAUAGUCAUGGGCUGCUUCACGGAAUAAACACAUUCUGAAAAAUACUGUUAGAGCAUCUCAUCAUGGUAUAAGCAUCAGAGAGGGUACCUAUUCACAGUGAGGAAACAUAACAUCACUAGGCAAAACAAACAAACAAACAAACAAAAAAAACCCAAACCCUCACAGGACCACCAUGGUCCUGUGGCUCCUCGAUGCCCAAACACUGCUGGGCAGCACACAACUGUGCUCACACACCAGGUGAGCUUCUGUCCCGAGGGAGGGCGAGUCAGGGAAAGCGUUAUUGUUAGUGCCGAGAGGGGGCGUGUUGGGAGGGAGGCAGAGAGAAGCACUUUCACUUUUUACUUUGUAGAUGUCCGUGUCAUUUGAAUUUCUAAACCCCUGUUCUUAUUUAUAGCUAUUUUUGCCUCAGAGAAGUUAAUCGAUGAAUUCAACCUCUAACAUCUUUUGACUCUCUACUUGGCUUGGAACAAUGGUAUUCCGAAUCACAGAGGGAUCUGGGGCCCAACUUCCCAUAGAACUGGCGAGUGCUCACCGGCUGCCUGCUGUACACUGGGCAUAGGAGUGAGGCCUGGGAGGGCGAGGUUCUGCCGCUUUGGCGUGAAUGGAACCCAGUCAAGAAGGAAAACAGGAAGUGGAAACCAAGGAAACUAAUAACUGAGGAGAAAUGACUACAGGGAAAGACUUCCUCAGACAAAUGUCCCUAAAAGUUGGGUGGCGUUUGGGUGGCAUUAAAAAGAUGGGUGCGGGGUGGGGGGCUGUCUGCCAUACCAAUAAACAUUUUCAUUUGGUUCUGUACACCAAGAUGCACCACAUCACAGGACAGCUCAGUCCAAUGACUUCGAUUAUGGGCAGAUGAAUCCUCACUGGGGAGAUGUGAGGGGUCAUCCCACUGUGUCCCCAGACUGGAGAAAAAAAAUAAGUGUCCUCAUGGGUAAAACCCAGUCAUGGAAGAAAUUAUGUUACUAGAUCAAAGCAGCUUCCCCAUCUCCAAGUCAGCAAGGGACAGAACCAUAUGCCAAAGUCCAGACCACACCAACAGUGCCAUGAGUCAGCGUGUGGAAAAUCACAUUCAUGCCGCCGCCUCUUAUAAAGGAAACAAAUGCCCACCCCUCUCUCCAGCUGUAAACCGUGUCCCUCUGGUAGGUUUCUCCCCCAGGGGCCUCUGGAAAAGGUGUGAGGACAAAGAAGAACUGGGCGGGGAGGGGUUGGUGCAAGGUGUCCUUUUCUCCCCUUAGUCAUCCCAAAAGAUGGCUCCUUGUGCUCACCCAGUCAGGCAGAGGGUCUUGUGGGAGGUCAAAGGCCUCAAGGGCUGUGGGAACCAAAGCAUGGAGCUUUUUUUUUCUUCUCAACGUUACAUGUGAGAACCUGCCUGAGGCUGGACCGGGGUCAGAGCUCUGAUAAUGAGAAGCAAGUACUGGGAGGACCUGAGGGAAGACCACAGCCACCCCAGGCGUCUGACAGCAGUGCUCCAGGAGGCAACUCCCAGGAAAAAGGACUUUACCGCGCAGCCCUGGCUGGCCUGAAUCCUGCAUGGAAGAAGCCAGCUUCGAGCUUGCGGCACCUCCCUGCCUCUGUCUCCUGGCUCGCGGGUAAGACUUCUCGAUAAUACUAAAAUGGUGCUAUGCUUCAGUUGGAGACAUCCAGCUCAGCCCUGAGCCGAGCCCUUGCUCGGGCGUCCUCAGAGUCCACAGAGCUGAGCCCGCAGACAUGGAUCUAAAGCCGUGGGCCCUGCUGAGCUGCUCUUCAUGUGGCAGCUUCAGUCUAAUAAUAAUCCCAGGGAAACCGGAUCAGUGUUUCCUAGAAACACACAGCAGGCUGUAAUCUGCCCCACACUGAACCACAGACAGACUUCUGCAUACUCGGGAUUACACGCACCCUCUCAGCCGGGAUGCUAUUCUAAACCACAAGCCCUGCGCGUCAUGUCUGUGGUCAGCAGGGACCCUCAAGAUAGCUGUUGGUUUCCCGUGCUCCCUCCACUGUGGUUGAAGGGAUCAGUAGGAGAGCCGUCACAGCCUCCCCCCACGCCCCGCAGCCCCCACGGGCUCAGAGUAUAGGCCGAAGAUCAGAGACCACAGCGCAAACUGUGCGAAAGGCUGACUGGGUCCCUGCGUUGCUUUAGCUGUACAGCGUGCCGGAGACAGCUCGCAGCCCUCACCCGACUCUUGGCCAGGUCCCUGCUCAUCCCUCUUCUCUACGUUGUUUCCCACUGAGUCACCACCCACAGAGCUGGCUGGCACGUUUUCAACUCCUGGACUCCACCCAGGGCCCCUCCCAAACAACCCUACGGAUUCCCACUCUCUGUGGGGCCCUGAAAAGCCACUGUGGACCCUAGUGUCUGGGAACCCUGGUUGCUUGCAAUAUUCCCUGAGGCCACAGCAUAUCCUAACCAAAGCAGUGGCGGAGAGCAGAACCCUCAGCCACCAUGUCUAUUUGGAAUUUUGGACAUGGAGACCAUGACAUGUGGGUCCUCCUGACAGAGAGGGUUUUAUUGCUAACCCAGGCUACAGUGAACGCACUUUCAUGCUCUGUUCAAGCAGAAUUAAUUUUCCUCAGAGAAGUGGAAAUUACUGGGGAGCCUAUGAGAGAAAACAGAAGAAAAAGGACCCUCUGUGAGGCAGAGCAUCUGAAGAUGCCUUUUGUAAUCCUGAUUAGCACAGGACAGGGACUUGAACUGCUCACGCUCAACUCCAGGAGUCUUGCAGUUAAAGACAACUUCUCUUGUCUACCUCUACCCUGCCUCCCUACCCAGGUACUUCUUCCCACCCCAGCCCACAGAAUAAACUAACGCCUUUCACACAAACUGUAAUUAGACGUCUUCCCAAGGCCCUUGUCCCUGUGGGAAGAUCCUCCAGCUUCCAGAGAUCUGCAUCUUGGUGCAGCUUUUCUUUACCCUUCCUCCUGGCGUGGUACAGCUCUCUCUCCUGAGUCCUCCCAUCUGCAGCAAAACAUCCACCUUAAGGUUCCCUCUUGGAGGACGAGGGUGUGGCUCAGGGGGUAGGGUGCUCGCCUGUUGAGUGUAACGUUCCAUUCCUAGUGUGGGACACUAUCAGUGUCCCACAGCCAUGCUCCCAAAAUGGCCAGAGGAACAUUGCACGCUGUGUAGCCUCUGCCACUGAACUGGGCCUCGUCAGGUCUCCAGUGACUCGUCCACUGCCUGAACCAAUGUCAUGCUUCUGGCCUCAUCUUUUUCAUACUCCUGACCCCUGCCACAGUGUCUGUGUAUGUCUAUCACGGCUAUCCUUCUGCCUCACCGAACACCUCCAUUCAGUUUCCUCAGCUCAGCUGUAGAGGCAGCUAAGGGUGUGGCUUCCCUCUCCCUACAAGCACCCAGAACUGAAAUGUGCUGCUGUGCCCUGGACUGAAAGGAAACCAACACAAGGCCUCUGUGGCCUAGAGCAGCUCCAGAACAGACUAUUUAUGUGACUUCUCCCCAUCCAAGGUGUUGUCGUAGAGGUCCCAAGACUAGCCCAUUCAAACUUCCCUUUCUGAGCAUUUGGAAGUUGAGGGAAUGUGUCCUUGGGUUUGGUGGAGGUUGCUAUCAGCAGACCUGUGUAUGAAACUCUGUGUGUGUGUGUGUGUGUGUGUGUGUGUGUGUGUCCUUGUUUCAGUGUGUAUCUGAGGUGAUUACCGUGUCACUAAUAGUUCUCUCACUGACCUCCAUCGAGUACCACUUAAUAAGCAGCUAGGUCUCAUUUCUCCUGCCCCAGCCCCUGGCAGAGCUGUUUUCUUAUGUUUGUAAAUGUUGGUUCACAAAGUCUAGAAUGGUCUUUCACACAACACUCUCCCAGCCUUCAGAUCCCUUUCUCCAGGGCAAGUACUUCUUUUCAUACAUGUGCCUUCUGGGCUACAUCCUGUUCUCCUAGGACCCAAACACGCUGAGGGCACUCUCCCUAGAAGCCACCAAUGGAGGCCCUCGCCAGAUUGUAGCUGCAGGUAAGGCUAUGACUUCCCACCCAAGAGAGCAGCCCUCACAGUUGGCUUCACUCUUCCCGGUGGUGGCAAGAGGGUCAAGUAAGGGUUUUAAGCAGGGAGCUGUAACUUUAAUUUUUCAAACCUUAUUUUUAACGGUGGUUCCGAAACACUUUAACCUCCCUUGUAGCCCAGCACCCACCAGAGGUAAUGGAAAAGAAAGGAUAUGGAGGAAGUGGACCUGUUUAGAAAGGUUCUUUGGAGCAACUGCCGUCCGUGUUGUCUGGAAAUCAGGAGUUCAUUUCACAGGUCAGCAGGCGGCAGCAGCUCUAUCCAUUCACGAACACCUCACGGAUAUACUAGUUCAGUAGAGUUGGGUUAGCAACAGUAGUGGCAUAGCCGAGACAGCCAGGCCUCAGCCUCAGGUCCGGUCAGCAGGAGGGACAGCAGGAACACCAGAAGUCCUCAGCUGUGCCUCUCUCGGGGAAGUGAAGAUCAGUGAAGAUGUGAGACCCACACGUGUUGCGCCGCUAACUGCACCAGCAAGCCAAGCUCUGUCUUCAUCAAUCCGUGGGGUCCUGUUUAUACCUUCCAAACAUCACGUGUCCUCCACGUGCCUUGCCUCAGCACAUGCAUCCAAUCAGAGUCCACAGAAGGGACAACAAACUGGAGAACACCACCAGAAGUUUUUUGGUGCAUUUCUUUCUCUCUAUGUGAUCCUGACAAGUGCAGCUCAACUAUGCAAUGUAAGGCGAACCAGUACAUGCAUGCUGUUAGCAAAGAGUCCUUCAUCACGUGUCCUUACACAUGCUUGCUUUAGCAGAACAUCCUUUCUCCUGCGUCUGCUUCAGCGAAACGUCCCUUUAGGAGUCUGCCUUAGCCUUUCGCACCUGUGUCCAUUUUAACAAAACAGUCCUUCACGAGUUUGCCCCAGCAAAACACCAUACAACCAACUUUCCAAAGAAGCCACUUCAGGAAGCCAGUCCAGGGACAGCUGAGGCUCUGGUAAGAUGGACUUGGAGAGGUGAGAGUGCCCAUGUCUGAGGCUGAGUCCUGUCCAAGUCAGCCAGCCUGCUGGACACAGUCAGCCUUUGCCCUUCCUUGGGGAAUAGCUUCCAGCCCUGUUUCUACCCCCACCAGCUCACAGCUUUGUGUUUCUUCCUGAAAGCGAGUCCUCCCCUUGGUAAGGACCUCUUGUGUUGGUUCCCAUUGGCUGCCCUGCUCUGACGUGGAUGAGGAGAGAACUCAGUGAGGAGUCUGGAUAGCCUAGCCUUUGCUGUUACAGUACCAAGAUGGGGUUUCUCUCUAGCCCAGAUUCCCUGGUGUGCACGCCUAUGCCCCUGUAGAUAAGCACUGUAGCUAGUGCCUGACCUCAAGGGUCCUGGCAUUCUGGGGAGGCCUUGUCUGCACACAGAAUGAAGGCAGUCAUCUUCACACCAUCAGUAGCACUCACUAGGCACAGCCAGGUCAGAUCCACUGCUAAGUACUUUCCAGAACCCCCCUAGAGGCACGUUUUGCUUUAGGGGUGUUUACAGCAGACAGAGAAGCUCGGAGAGGUUUGGACCUGCUCGUGCUUCUUUGUGGCAGGUUGGGCUGAGCAUCCAAGGCCAUUUCAAAGCUGGCGUCCCUAGGACACUUGAGGGGAUGCACAGCAAUGUGAACAAAGAGCGGGUGGAAAGGGAACACAGGAAGGGAGACUCCUGUGCUAAGAGGAAGGAGUGGAGAGAAAAGCCGGAAGUCCUUGGAAGCCUUGGUUCUGGUUAAGGCUUGGUCUAGAGAGAGCUUAUAGGACGUGCUCAGGCAGACCACCUCUGUCACCAGUGCCAGAGUACUUUCCUUCUGCUGCCACCAUGUCUGGUAGCCUCAGGCUACAUCCUCAGGUCUCUUGGUUGAGAGCUUUGCUUUGAGCAAACUAUACCUAUGGUUUCCUGUGAAGUGCGAAGCUCCUGGGAUGCCUGGAGCUAUCUUUAUUCUCAGGGACAGGAAGUCCAAGGGAUGUGUAACAUAUACCCUACUCCCCAAAGAUCAACUGAUGUAUGGUUGUGAGAUUGAAGGCAGCUGAUGUUGACAGAUGCAAGCUCUGUCCUUCACCUCAAGCGACACCAUCUCUCAGGUGUCAUUUCUUCUCUAAAGCUCCUUCAGGGAGGCUGGUGCCAGACAUCAGUGUAGAUGGAGGCCUUGUUUAGGAUGAUUCCCCCACAGUUUCUUCAAUUGUGCCUGGGAGCCUCUCAUUCAUAAUCCCUGGGGUUAAGGCCAUGAUACUCCAUUCUAGCUCCGAGGAAAGCCAAUUGGCUUCUGGUGAUCUGACAUGAAACCAUCCUGAGACUCUGGGGGUCUUCCCCAGGUCAAAACCCCCAUUCCAUGAAGGGAUUCUGGAGACUAGAUAGCUCUGUACCCUGUGAAGAAUGUGUCUUAGUCAGGGUUAGUAUUGCUGCGAUGAAACACUCAGAGCAAGUUGGAGAGGAAAGGGUUUAUUCGGGAUUGCACGUCCAUAGAUGUUCAUUGCCAAAGGAAGUCAGAACCUGAACUCAAAUGAGGCAGGAGCCUGGAGGCAGGAGCUGAUGUAGAGACCAUAGAAGGGUGCUGCCUGUUGGCUUGCUCCUCAGGGCUUGCUCAGCCUGCUUGUUUAUAGAACCCAGGACCACCAGCCUAGGAAUGGCUCCACCCACAAUGGGCUGGGCCCUCCCCCAUCAAUCACUAAGAAAAUGCUCUACAGGUUUGCCUGCAGUCCAAUACUUCCAGUAAUUUAUUUAUUCACUUUACAUACAGAUCGGAGUCCCCUCGAUAGCCCAUCUUAUGGAAGCAUUUCCUUCCUUUUUUGACAUUUGUGCUUUCCUUUAAUAACUUGUUUCAUAAUUUUCUUUUAUAUUUAAAUUCUUUUUUUUCUUUCAUAUAUUACAUCCUGAGCAAUGUUUCCCCUCCUCUCCUCCCAGUCGCUCCCCCAAACUUCUCAGCCCCUCCCAUCCACUCCUCCUCCUCCACUCCUCCUCCAUUCCUUCAGGAAAGGGCAGGCCUUCUAGGGAUAGCAAUCAAACAUGACCUAUCAAGCUGCAAUUGAUAAGGCUAGGCACCUCCCCUCAUAUUAAGGUCCUCAGGGGAGGACAAGGGUCCCCACAGCAGGGAAAAGCAUCAGAAGCAGUCCUGCCCCCCUACUAGGAGUCCCACAAGACCACCAAGCUACACAGGCCCCUGCAGAGGGCCUCGGUUAGAUCCAUGCAGGCUCCCUGAUUCCUGGAGGACCAGAACCAGAGGCCAGAUGGUCCAGAGGCCUAAGAUAGAACCAAACACACCCAGGAAAAAUAAGUAAAUUAUUUCUAAUGAGUAUCACAGGAGUGUCAUGAUACUCAUAGACAGGAGCCCGGCACAAUCACCAUCAGUGAGGCUCCAUCAAGCCACUGAUGGAAAAAGAUGCAGAGACCCACAGCCAAACAUUGGGCAGAACUCAGCGAACCCUGCGGAAGAGGGAGAAGGAUUGUAGGAGCCAGAAGGGACAAGGACACCACAAGAAAACUCAUAGGGGCUCGCUGAGACUGAACCAAUGACGGGGGAGGGAUUUCCUUAACUGAGGUUCCCUCCUCUCAGAUGACUUUAGCUUCCGUUGACAUAAAGUUGAUCCAACCCAGGAGGUGAUCGUGCACAGACUUGGUGACAGUCUGUGGAAAAGACUCCACCGUGAGUGUCUGCUCACCCCAUACCACCCACAGCAAGGGUGGACUGAAGCCACUGAGCAGAGGGAGCUGAGCUCCUGAAGGACAGGGCAUGAUGGAGGGGACAUUCAGGACCCAGAGGACACCGAAAAGCAAGGGAGUCCUCUGUGACCUUCUGUCCUCAGAGCGUAGAGCUGGUCCCAUGGCCUUUUGACUCCUCCACGAGGUCUACUGAUGAGCCUUACCUCACACAGCUGGAACUGUCGCUAAACGCAAGCCCUUUGUUCCUCCGAUAAAAACUGUGCUCUUGUGAACCUUCAGAGAAAGGGAAGGUAGUGGGUGGUGAUCCCAUGGGGUGACUGGCUGGGAGCGUGCUCCCUAGACUUUCGAGAUGGAAUAUGUGGACAAUUUCCACAGAGCCCUUACAUGUGUGCGUGAGGACACAUGCAUGCAUGCAUGCUCUCGUGCUCUCCUUCAUGCGUUGGCCUGCGGGGACAGGCAGCUAGAGAACUGGUCUUUGGAGCAUGUGAGUUUUCCUGCUUGAGCAAGUCCUGGCUAGUAGCCGGACAAACAGAACCAUCAGCCUAGGACACCCGAGAAGUGGAGGGUGGGGGUAAGAAAAGGGAAGCACGCGGAGCCUUGAGACCUGCCUGGCUGCCACUCCCGGGCUGCCAGGCACUGAGACUCUUCCAGAAAGUGUGACAGGUGCAUAGGGAACUCGAGGCCCUUCCCUCACGUGUCCAGAACAGCACUUCCACAUUUGGGUAAAGAGUCUCCCCCAUAUAGCAGGAUGUUACCUCCGCCUUUUUCCUCAUUCCCAAAGCUGUGGCAACGUUCCCUUCCCAUGCGGCAUCAGAUGUGGUCCCCUACCAGAACUCCUGUUCUCCUUGGGAGUGUCCAGCCAUUGAAAACCGAGAAUGUGCUCCCCUUCUCCCAGUGGGGCUGUGUUGAAGCAGUACACAAUGCCUCCCUCUCCUGUCAGAACAGCUGAUUCUAGGGUUGGAAUCAGAAGGAAAGUGGGCGGUGCUGUCUCCAUUCAAGAAAAGCAGCAGGAGCUGAUGAGAUGGCUCAGUGGUUAAGAACAUUUGUUGCUCUUACAGAGGCACUGGGUUCAGUUCCCAGCACCCUCACGGUGGUUGACAACCAUCCAUAACUCCAGUUCCAAGAGACCCAAUACCCUCUUCUGACCUCUGUGGGCACUAAGCAUGUUGAUAAGGCCCAUAGCUAUAUGCAGGGAAAACAGUCCUACACAUAAAGUAAAAUAAACAUCUAAAAGAGAAUUAAAAAUCUGCAACUUCAGAUUGUCUCACUAAAAAUCCGAUCAAACCUCUAGCUGUAUGCCUUGUUCACUGUACAAUGUGGCCUUGCAGGGAAGAGUGGAGGGUGGAGUUCAUCUGCAGCCUUUUCACCAAGCUGUGCCCUCUGCUGUGGGACAGCACCCAUUAAUUCGUACUGCAACAUUUCCUACACUCGAGGCUGGCUGUCUAUACAGAGGGCUCUCCCCACACACAAGUCUGGUGCCUUGGUCUCUCACUCUUACGAGCUUCUUACAAGGCAGCUCCUCUCUCCUCUUCUGUCUCAGGACAGUCUGACCUCUAUCAUCCACCACGGAGAAGGCUCUUAUAGACAGACAGCAGACCUGGCCACUCCGUGUAGAACCCUCAGCACUGCCCACGUUCUCAGCCUGUCCUUCUUUACUUUCCUGCUUCUUUUCCUAACCCACGAGGCCAUUUCUCAUGGCACAGUGAUAGAGGCUUGUCACUAUCCCCUAGCCUCACCCUGCUCACAGGAAUGGCAGGUGGAGCUCCAGGCCUGCUCCUCACCUCUCCAGGCUGCACACACGUCUCUUUGUCACAUCACUGGGUCUUCUCGGCUCUGCUGCCAGUUGGAAUUCAGUGUCCCAGCAAGGGUUGUGCCCCGUGCAGAGAGGCCUGAGCAAGGUGUACAGUAGACCUGUGAGCCCGCAGUGCACAGCUCUGUGAGUCACAGAUACUGCGUUCCGUUUCCCAUUCUUUCCACUGGGGGUGUCCAAGGAGCAGGGGUUGCAAACCUCUGCAGAGCUUGGCAGUGUCAGUACCUGCUGUAGACCAGCCAUGUUCAGAGAACGUCAGGGAUGAGGGUAAAGACAGACACUCAGUGGUGACGAUGUCGUCAUCGUGUCUCAGACGCAGGCAAGACACUGCAGAGGUUGGGACUGAGUCAGAACAAAAAUGAAGCUCGCAUGAUCACUGUGGAAGGAGGGUGGGGGCUUCUCACCUGGUAGUGGCUGGAUUAUCCUGUAGCAGGGUCACCUGCCAUGCAGGAUAAAGACAGAGUCCUCCCCAACACCAGUUAGGAGUAAAGUCAGUGAAGCAGCAGCUGGUCUCUCUCUGAGCCUGUCACUCCCCCUCCCCCACCUCUAGGCUUCAUCUUCAAUAGCAUCUUGACUCGAGAGAGCAUUUCUUGUGAAGAAGUCAAGCGCUGUAUUACCUCUUUAGCCACAUCCUCCAGAGGCUCUUUCCUGCUCACAGCUCCAGGCGCCUCUGUCUGCUGCUUCUCCUGGGCUGGCACAGCCAAGGGCAGAGCAGUUCCUCUUGGUCAAGGCACCUAGCAGGAGCCGAGUGCUGGGUGGUCACCCGAGGAAAAGAAAAGUGGCACUGUGACAGAGCUCCAGCUGUCCCCAAAUGAAAACCAGAUGCUGUGUGGGGCUCCCUCG